UCCCCAUAUGCGCCCACUCCAUCCAUCCGGGGCGCUGUAGAAGGCAGUUUGGCCUGCUUUUAAUUGGAAACCACUGCCGCCAUUAUUAUUACCGAGUGUUAUUAUGGCGGGCCAUAUUGUCUCCUUACAAAGAUUAACAAUGAUAUUCUCCAAAGACAAUUAUUUACCUGAUAGAAUGAGGAUGAAGACAUACAAUAAAGAUGUAAGAGGUACAGAACUGGAACAGUAAGCCAUCUCUGCCACUUAUCUCUCUAUUGAGUAUUUAGCUUGUUUGAGGUCGAGACAUGGUAAGAGAAGGUAGCUAGAGUUGUAACUUAUAUCCGAAUGGAGAGAAAAGUGAGGGGGAAGAAUACGUGUGAAGAGAGGGAAUCUGCAGAUUCUGUAUAGCCACUGACAGCUCCAAAAGGCUUCCUUGCUUGUUACCAUAAUCCAUUUGAUACCUUUCCCCAGUCUUUAA